rnacentral:rRNA from 1 species
AUUGAACGCUGGCGGCAGGCCUAACACAUGCAAGUCGAACGAGUGGCGGACGGGUGAGUAAUGUCUGGGAAACUGCCCGAUGGAGGGGGAUAACUACUGGAAACGGUAGCUAAUACCGCAUACUAUCGGAUGUGCCCAGAUGGGAUUAGCUAGUAGGGGGGGUAACGGCUCACCUAGGCGACGAUCCCUAGCUGGUUUGAGAGGAUGACCAGCCACACUGGAACUGAGAAACGGUCCAGACUCCUACGGGAGGGAGCAGUGGGGAAUAUUGCACAAUGGGGGAAAGCCUGAUGCAGCCAUGCCGCGUGUAUGAAGAAGGCCUUCGGGUUGUAAAGUACUUUCAGCGGAGAGGCGUUACCCGCAGAAGAAGCACCGGCUAACUCCGUGCCAGCAGCCGCGGUAAUAC